ACUUUACAAAGCAUGUUAAUGUGACUUAGACAUGCUUGAAUAAACCUUUAGCUUAUGCUUAAGUGAUUAGCAAAGAAACAUGAACAAGUUGGACUCACUAGUAAGUUUAGAAUAUGAAUACUGUCAUGAUACCUUGAAACUAGAAUAUGAAAUUUGUGAUCAUGUUUGAUGACACUCUUAGACUCACUCAUGUAGCGUAAACCUAUACACACCAUGCUUGUGUAGUACAUUUCAAGAAAAGCAUGAACAAUGCCUAUUUUUCAACUAAAAC
rnacentral:lncRNA from 1 species